CCUACGGGAGGCAGCAGUGGGGAAUCUUGCGCAAUGGGCGGAAGCCUGACGCAGCAACGCCGCGUGCGGGAAGAAGGCCUUAGGGUCGUAAACCGCUUUCAGGGGGGACGAAGCUUCCGGGGUUAAUAGCCUACGGGGUGACGGUACUCCCAAAAGAAGGUCCGGCUAACUACGUGCCAGCAGCCGCGGUAAUACGUAGGGACCGAGCGUUGUCCGGAAUCAUUGGGCGUAAAGAGCGUGUAGGCGGCUUGGUAGGUCUCGUGUGAAAUCCCGCGGCUCAACCGCGGAUCCGCACGGGAAACCCCUAAGCUCGAGUCCGGAAGAGGAGAGUGGAAUUCCUGGUGUAGCGGUGAAAUGGCGCAGAUAUCAGGAAGAACAACCCGUAGCGAAGGCGGCUCUCUGGGACGGUACUGACGCUGAGACGCGAAAGCGUGGGGAGCAAACAGGAUUAGAUACCCUGGUAGUCCACGCCGUAAACGAUGGGCGCUAGGUGUGGGAGGUGUCGACUCCUCCCGUGCCGAAGCUAACGCAUUAAGCGCCCCGCCUCGGGGAGUACGGCCGCAGGCUAAAACUUAAAAUAGAAUUGACGG
rnacentral:rRNA from 1 species